GGGCUGUUAUAUUACUUUGUGGUACCAUAUUUCAAAUUGAUGAUGGAUUCAAUUACAAGGAGGGCGUAACUCGCCUGACCUAGCUCUCGAUUAUUUAUAACUCGCCCUAUCUGCCCCAGAGACUCGCCUUUAUAUACAGGUUGAGGCCCUAGGGUUUACAAAAGUCCUAGCCACGCUACAGAUCAUGGUCUUCCAUAUCUCCAAGUCGCCGUGCUUUCCAAGACUGGAAACCCCCUUGGCGGCUUAUCUUCUGCAUCAAUCCUGAACCGCCAUCCGGUUCAUGGGCCCCUGGGAUAAGGCUUGCAUUAACCAUGCAUGAGUCGCCCCUUUAGGGACCCGACCCAAUUAGGGCGGGUUACACCGCAGGCCAUAUCCCCAACAGGAUCCAGUUGAAACUGCGUUGUAUAAGCGGGCAUGCAAAACUCAUCAAGUACUAUACGUACACUUAACAUCGAGUAAGAAAAAUAGAAUUUAUAGUACAAGACAAUAACACUCACCUGAAGUUGUAAGAAAAUAAUAUUUUUGGAAGCGAAAAUGUAUAUAACGCGGUUGAUGUAGUCGUACCUCUUCACGAUCCAAUCGCGAUCCGUCCCGAUCUAGCGUCGAACGGACGACACCUCCGCGUUCAGCACACAUGCGGCUCGAUGAAGUAUCCGCCUCCUUGAUCCAGCAAGCAAGGGAGAAGAAGUAGAUGAGAUCUCGACCAACACAAUGGUAUGAUGGAGAUGAUGGUGGAGCAGUGCGAGAAGGGCUUCGCCAAGCGCCUCCGGAACUACGAAUGAAGAAGAACGGCAGAGACGGGAGGGAGAGGGCUGCCUCAAGGGAGAG
rnacentral:lncRNA from 1 species